rnacentral:rRNA from 1 species
AUGAUACGCGAGGAACCCUUUACCAAGGCCUUAAAUGUAGAUUGACCGGUUUGGAAACAGACCCCUUCGCAAGACAAUUUACAAGGUGCUGCAUGGUUGUCGUCAGCUCGUGCCGUGAGGUGUCAGGUUAAGUCCUAUAACGAGCGCAAACCCCUGUUGUUAGUUGCCAGCGAGUCAUGUCGGGAACUCUAACGAGACUGCCAGUGCAAACUGAGAGGAAGGUGGGGAUGACGUCAAAUCAUCACGGCCCUUACGCCUUGGGCUACACACGUGCUACAAUGGCCGGUACAGAGAGCAGCCACUGGGUGACCAGGAGCGAAUCUACAAAACCGGUCACAGUUCGGAUCGGAGUCUGCCAACUCGACUCCGUGAAGCUGGAAUCGCUAGUAAUCGGAUAUCAGCCAUGAUCCGGUGAAUACGUUCCCGGGCCUUGUACACACCGCCC